rnacentral:rRNA from 2 species
AUGAAAAGAACUUUGAAAAGAGGGUUAAAAGACUUGAAACCGUUGAGAAGGAAGCUGUAGAAGAGCAAUAAACUGGACGGCGCAUAAGGGGGAAGUGUUACUCACUGCGGAGUCGAUACGAAAGGUCGAUGAGUAAGGAAAGGACACAGAACUUGCUACGCCGGUCAGAAGACAAAAUGAGUUCAGAUUGAAGGAGUCACCUGAGAUCGGGGGUCAAACCAGAUCAAAAGGGAAACUUCAGACUGGACUGAGGGGCCUAAGGGCGAUUUUGUCAAAAUGGCUUCUACUGACCCGUCUUGAAACACGGACCAAGGAGUCUAUCAAUUAAGCGAGUGAUAGGGUGGAGAAACCCGUCC